GAAUUCCUGGUGUAGCGGUGGAAUGCGCAGAUAUCAGGAGGAACACCGAUGGCGAAGGCAGAUCUCUGGGCCGUUACUGACGCUGAGGAGCGAAAGCAUGGGGAGCGAACAGGAUUAGAUACCCUGGUAGUCCAUGCCGUAAACGUUGGGCGCUAGAUGUAGGGACCUUUCCACGGUUUCUGUGUCGUAGCUAACGCAUUAAGCGCCCCGCCUGGGGAGUACGGCCGCAAGGCUAAAACUCAAAGGAAUUGACGGGGGCCCGCACAAGCGGCGGAGCAUGCGGAUUAAUUCGAUGCAACGCGAAGAACCUUACCAAGGCUUGACAUAUACCGGAAACGGCCAGAGAUGGUCGCCCCCUUGUGGUCGGUAUACAGGUGGUGCAUGGUUGUCGUCAGCUCGUGUCGUGAGAUGUUGGGUUAAGUCCCGCAACGAGCGCAACCCUCGUUCUAUGUUGCCAGCGAUUCGGUCGGGGACUCAUAGGAGACUGCCGGGGUCAACUCGGAGGAAGGUGGGGAUGACGUCAAAUCAUCAUGCCCCUUAUGUCUUGGGCUUCAC
rnacentral:rRNA from 1 species